UUCAUGGGAAAAAGUCACCUAGGCAAAUUGAUUGUAAUUUGUGAAGCUUCCAGACUAGAAAAGUUUAUAUAGAAGUCUUCGAGUCAGUUGUUAGAGCUGAAAAGAAAUGCAGACCAUCAGAAUUGAAAAGGAUUCAUGCCAGUAGACUGGAAAAGGAGUUUUAAAACUGCCUCAACAAUUCAAAGAAAACUUGAAUAAGUCAGUUGAAUGAGUUAACAGGUCCACAAACAGGGUUGGUGAACUAACCAACCUGUUUAUUGGCUGAUGGAGACACAGAGCACUCCAGAGGCAGGCACCUGAAGGUGAAUGCUUGACAUGAGGCGAGAGAGAUAGGAACCAAUUCUUGAUUUGGAAUUGACUCCUUAUAGAGGACACCACACCCUCUGGGAGGUUGACACGAAUCUCUGGAUGUCACAUAGAAGACAUAGAAAAUAUGAGCAGGAGUGUCCGCACCAGUCAGUGUGAUCGUGGCUAACCAUCCACCUCAGUACCCUGUUCCUGCUUUCUUACAGUUCAUUUUGCAUCAUUUAGCUCUAAGAACAAUAUCUAACUCCUCUUGAAAACAUUCACCGUUCUGGCUGUUCCAGUAGUUAAUGCUCACAUCAGUCUGUUAAAAAUCUAAUUGGUGACACCACAAACAUAUACCAGGCUUAGGUAGGACUGCCUCUCAUUCAAAUUUCCUUCAAAACCUGGUUCAGAAAGAAAUCUUGAAUUUGCUGGAAAAAUGAAUACCAACCUUAUCUCACUGUGCUUUUGGCAACUUUCAAAGUAAUUCCGCAACUUCAGCCAACUGCAACAAAGUGAUCUCGGAAGGAACCUAACCACACGCUUUAACAAAUAGAAGGAAAUGUCCCACGUGUGGGUCAAACUGCAAAGGUUACACAAAGCUUAACUACUUGGGAAAAAAAAAUGCACAGUAGAAGGAAAAUGCUAAAAGAGUUACCAGACGCAGAAAAGCAGCGAAAAUGGACACAAAAAGAAUGAACAAAUGUCCAUAAUCUGGGAAAUGAUGAUGAGAUUUUGGUUAUCGUAGACAUAGAAACCAUACAAUAGCAUGAAAUGCUUCACCACUCAGAUCCGCAAGAAUAUGAGAAAAGUUUCAGAACUGUAAAUCUGAAUCCACUGCAUGAUAAUAAGCACAAAGCAUCAUUCUCAACCUCAGAGUGUGCGAUU